UACAGAGGUCUCAAGCGUUGCUCGGAUUCAUUGGGCGUAAAGGGUGCGUAGGCGGCGCGGUAAGUCGGGUGUGAAAUCUUGGAGCUUAACUCCGAAACUGCAUUCGAUACUGCCGUGCUUGAGGACUGGAGAGGAGACUGGAAUUUACGGUGUAGCGGUGAAAUGCGUAGAUAUCGUAAGGAAGACCAGUGGCGAAGGCGGGUCUCUGGACAGUUCCUGACGCUGAGGCACGAAGGCCAGGGCAGCAAACGGG
rnacentral:rRNA from 1 species